GUAGGUGAACCUGCGGAGGGAUCAUUACACAAUAAAAUAUGAAGGCUGUACGCGGCUGUGCUCUCGGGCCAGUUUUGCGGAGGCUGAAUUAUUUAUUACCCUUGUCUUUUGCGCACUUGUUGUUUCCUGGGCGGGUUCGCCCGCCACCAGGACCACAUCAUAAACCUUUUUUAUGCAGUUGCAAUCAGCGUCAGUAUAACAAAUGUAAAUCAUUUACAACUUUCAACAACGGAUCUCUUGGUUCUG
rnacentral:misc_RNA from 1 species